rnacentral:sRNA from 1 species
UAAAUAGCGUAAUGAAGAGCUCACAUGG